rnacentral:misc_RNA from 1 species
AACGCACAUUGCGCCCCUUGGUAUUCCGGGGGGCAUGCCUGUUCGAGCGUCAUUACAACCCUCAAGCCUAGCUUGGUACUGGGCCGCGCCGUUCACGUGGCGGGCCUUAAAAUCAGUGGCGGUGCCCCUGUAGCCCUGAGCGUAGUACAUCUCCUCGCUCUAGGGAUGCGGUGGUGCCUGCCAGCGACCCCCAACUCUUAGUUUGACCUCGGAUCAGGUAGGGAUACCCGCUGAACUUAA